GCGCGCGCCGCUUUUUGCUUCACAGUGCUUCCCACGGUUGUCUUAGGAACCAGUCCCCGAGGCUUGGCAACGCGGGAGCCCUCCGUGGCAGCGCUUGGGUGUCGGGCCUCCGAGGCUCCGGCCUGACCUCUCCACGGGGUCCACAGGAACGUCUCCGGCUGCCAGGAGUCACAAGGGGCCGAGCAGGAUGAGGAAACCACAGGCGGAGUCCGGGGGAAGCAGCGUGGCAUCCCAGCCUCAGGGCUGUCAGGACGGUGUUCGGGAACGUCUCUGGCUGCCAGGAGUCGCAAGGGGCUGAGCAGGAUGAGGAAACCACAGGCGGAGUCCGGUGGAAGCAGCGUGGCAUCCCAGCCUCAGGCCUGCCAGGACGGUGUUCGGGAUUUUGGCUGCUGUAUAAGAGAAUUGGCUGGAAGAAGCACCAUUCACAAGCACUUACUGUCAAGAAGCAAGAAGCACAAAGCACUUAUCAUCAAGUAAGAAGGACAGGACUCCCAGUAAGGGGGUAGCAGAGAGAUGUUGGCAACUGGACAGAUGCACAAUACACUUGGGAGGCGACACUGACAGAACAUGUCUCUGGGGACAUGCAAGAAGAAUUAGGUAAAAGCAUAGGUUAUAUCAGGGUAUGUCAAAAACAGUGAC
rnacentral:lncRNA from 1 species